rnacentral:rRNA from 1 species
GAUGAACGCCGGCGGCGUGCCUAAUACAUGCAAGUCGAGCGAACGGACGAGAAGCUUGCUUCUCUGAUGUUAGCGGCGGACGGGUGAGUAACACGUGGAUAACCUACCUAUAAGACUGGGAUAACUUCGGGAAACCGGAGCUAAUACCGGAUAAUAUUUUGAACCGCAUGGUUCAAAAGUGAAAGACGGUCUUGCUGUCACUUAUAGAUGGAUCCGCGCUGCAUUAGCUAGUUGGUAAGGUAACGGCUUACCAAGGCAACGAUGCAUAGCCGACCUGAGAGGGUGAUCGGCCACACUGGAACUGAGACACGGUCCAGACUCCUACGGGAGGCAGCAGUAGGGAAUCUUCCGCAAUGGGCGAAAGCCUGACGGAGCAACGCCGCGUGAGUGAUGAAGGUCUUCGGAUCGUAAAACUCUGUUAUUAGGGAAGAACAUAUGUGUAAGUAACUGUGCACAUCUUGACGGUACCUAAUCAGAAAGCCACGGCUAACUACGUGCCAGCAGCCGCGGUAAUACGUAGGUGGCAAGCGUUAUCCGGAAUUAUUGGGCGUAAAGCGCGCGUAGGCGGUUUUUUAAGUCUGAUGUGAAAGCCCACGGCUCAACCGUGGAGGGUCAUUGGAAACUGGAAAACUUGAGUGCAGAAGAGGAAAGUGGAAUUCCAUGUGUAGCGGUGAAAUGCGCAGAGAUAUGGAGGAACACCAGUGGCGAAGGCGACUUUCUGGUCUGUAACUGACGCUGAUGUGCGAAAGCGUGGGGAUCAAACAGGAUUAGAUACCCUGGUAGUCCACGCCGUAAACGAUGAGUGCUAAGUGUUAGGGGGUUUCCGCCCCUUAGUGCUGCAGCUAACGCAUUAAGCACUCCGCCUGGGGAGUACGACCGCAAGGUUGAAACUCAAAGGAAUUGACGGGGACCCGCACAAGCGGUGGAGCAUGUGGUUUAAUUCGAAGCAACGCGAAGAACCUUACCAAAUCUUGACAUCCUUUGACAACUCUAGAGAUAGAGCCUUCCCCUUCGGGGGACAAAGUGACAGGUGGUGCAUGGUUGUCGUCAGCUCGUGUCGUGAGAUGUUGGGUUAAGUCCCGCAACGAGCGCAACCCUUAAGCUUAGUUGCCAUCAUUAAGUUGGGCACUCUAAGUUGACUGCCGGUGACAAACCGGAGGAAGGUGGGGAUGACGUCAAAUCAUCAUGCCCCUUAUGAUUUGGGCUACACACGUGCUACAAUGGACAAUACAAAGGGCAGCGAAACCGCGAGGUCAAGCAAAUCCCAUAAAGUUGUUCUCAGUUCGGAUUGUAGUCUGCAACUCGACUACGUGAAGCUGGAAUCGCUAGUAAUCGUAGAUCAGCAUGCUACGGUGAAUACGUUCCCGGGUCU